UUAUAUUUUUAUUCUUUCUUUUUUCUUCUUUUUUUAUUCUUUAUUCUUUUUUCUAUAUUUUCCCAUUCAAAAGGACGAGCGAGAUGUUUCUGAAAAAAGUGGAAGGCCCGAGAUGC
rnacentral:ribozyme from 13 species